rfam:Schistosoma rodhaini strain Burundi genome assembly, scaffold: SROB_scaffold0000151
AUCCAGUUGAUGAGUCCCAAAUAGAAUGAAACGCGCGUCUUGUAU